GAUGAGCUGGCUUAGUGGUUAAGGCGAUGGACUCCUAAUCCAUUGUGCCAUGCACGUGUGGGUUCGAAUCCCAUCCUCAUCU